AUUGGGGACUUGGGCGGGCAGCCUAACACAUGCAAGUCGAGCGGAUGAAGGGAGCUUGCUCCUGGAUUCAGCGGCGGACGGGUGAGUAAUGCCUAGGAAUCUGCCUGGUAGUGGGGGAUAACGUCCGGAAACGGGCGCUAAUACCGCAUACGUCCUGAGGGAGAAAGUGGGGGAUCUUCGGACCUCACGCUAUCAGAUGAGCCUAGGUCGGAUUAGCUAGUUGGUGGGGUAAAGGCCUACCAAGGCGACGAUCCGUAACUGGUCUGAGAGGAUGAUCAGUCACACUGGAACUGAGACACGGUCCAGACUCCUACGGGAGGCAGCAGUGGGGAAUAUUGGACAAUGGGCGAAAGCCUGAUCCAGCCAUGCCGCGUGUGUGAAGAAGGUCUUCGGAUUGUAAAGCACUUUAAGUUGGGAGGAAGGGCAGUAAGUUAAUACCUUGCUGUUUUGACGUUACCAACAGAAUAAGCACCGGCUAACUUCGUGCCAGCAGCCGCGGUAAUACGAAGGGUGCAAGCGUUAAUCGGAAUUACUGGGCGUAAAGCGCGCGUAGGUGGUUCAGCAAGUUGGAUGUGAAAUCCCCGGGCUCAACCUGGGAACUGCAUCCAAAACUACUGAGCUAGAGUACGGUAGAGGGUGGUGGAAUUUCCUGUGUAGCGGUGAAAUGCGUAGAUAUAGGAAGGAACACCAGUGGCGAACGCGACCACCUGGACUGAUACUGACACUGAGGUGCGAAAGCGUGGGGAGCAAACAGGAUUAGAUACCCUGGUAGUCCACGCCGUAACGAUGUCGACUAGCCGUUGGGAUCCUUGAGAUCUUAGUGGCGCAGCUAACGCGAUAAGUCGACCGCCUGGGGAGUACGGCCGCAAGGUUAAAACUCAAUGAAUGACGGGGCCGCACAAGCGGUGGAGCAUGUGUUAUCGAGCACGCGAGAACUACUGCUGAACUGCUGAGACUUUCAGAGAUGAUGUGCUCGGAACUCGA
rnacentral:rRNA from 1 species